GAUGAACGCUGGCGGCGUGUCUAAGGCAUGCAAGUCGAGUGGGUUCAGACCCACGGCAAACGGGAGCGUAACACAUUGGUAACUUACCCCUAACUGGAGGAUAACUCGCCGAAAGGUGAAGUAAUACUCCAUUAAUUGGCCUGUCGUAUGGCGGGUCAAUAAAGAUUUAUCGGUUAGGGAGAGGCCUAUGGUCUAUCAGCUAGUUGGCAGUGUAAAAGACUACCAAGGCUAUGACGGAUAGCGGGUGUGAGAGCACGACCCGCCUCACUGGGACUGAGAAACUGCCCAGACACCUACGGGUGGCUG
rnacentral:rRNA from 1 species